rnacentral:rRNA from 1 species
UACAGAGGUCUCAAGCGUUGUUCGGAUUCAUUGGGCGUAAAGGGUGCGUAGGCGGUGAGGUAAGUCGGAUGUGAAAUCCCGGGGCUCAACCCCGGAACUGCAUUCGAUACUGCCUUGCUUGAGCACUGGAGAGGAGACUGGAAUUUACGGUGUAGCAGUGAAAUGCGUAGAUAUCGUAAGGAAGACCAGUGGCGAAGGCGAGUCUCUGGACAACUCCUGACACUGAGGCACGAAAGCUAGGGGAGCAAACAGG